CGGACGGGUGAGUAAUGCUUGGGAAUCUGGCUUAUGGAGGGGGAUAACUACGGGAAACUGUAGCUAAUACCGCGUAAUAUCUUCGGAUUAAAGGGUGGGACUUUCGGGCCACCUGCCAUAAGAUGAGCCCAAGUGGGAUUAGGUAGUUGGUGGGGUAAAGGCCUACCAAGCCGACGAUCUCUAGCUGGUCUGAGAGGAUGACCAGCCACACUGGAACUGAGACACGGUCCAGACUCCUACGGGAGGCAGCAGUGGGGAAUAUUGCACAAUGGGGGGAACCCUGAUGCAGCCAUGCCGCGUGAAUGAAGAAGGCCUUCGGGUUGUAAAGUUCUUUCGGUGAUGAGGAAGGCAGGUAAGUUAAUAGCUUACUUGAUUGACGUUAGUCACAGAAGAAGCACCGGCUAACUCCGUGCCAGCAGCCGCGGUAAUACGGAGGGUGCGAGCGUUAAUCGGAAUGACUGGGCGUAAAGGGCACGCAGGCGGUGACUUAAGUGAGAUGUGAAAGCCCCGGGCUUAACCUGGGUAUUGCAUUUCAUACUGGGUCGCUAGAGUAUUUUAGGGAGGGGUAGAAUUCCACGUGUAGCGGUGAAAUGCGUAGAGAUGUGGAGGAAUACCGAAGGCGAAGGCAGCCCCUUGGGAAUAUACUGACGCUCAUGUGCGAAAGCGUGGGGAGCAAACAGGAUUAGAUACCCUGGUAGUCCACGCUGUAAACGCUGUCGAUUUGGGGAUUGGGCUUUAAGCUUGGUGCCCGUAGCUAGCGUGAUAAAUCGACCGCCUGGGGAGUA
rnacentral:rRNA from 1 species